rnacentral:rRNA from 1 species
UACGUAGGGUGCGAGCGUUAAUCGGAAUUACUGGGCGUAAAGCGUGCGCAGGCGGUUUUGUAAGCCGGAUGUGAAAUCUCCCGGCUCAACUGGGAGGGUGCGCCGAAGACUGGAAGGCUUGAGUAUGGGAGAGGUAAGCGGAAUUCCUGGUGUAGCGGUGAAAUGCGGAGAUAUCAGGAGGAACACCUGCGGUGUAGACGGCUUACUGGACCAUAACUGACGCUGAGGCACGAAAGCGUGGGUAGCAAACAGG